GAUGAAGAACGUAGCGAAAUGCGAUACUUGGUGUGAAUUGCAGAAUCCCGUGAACCAUCGAGUCUUUGAACGCAAGUUGCGCCUCAAGCCAUUAGGUUGAGGGCACGUCUGCCUGGGCGUCACAUAUCGUUGCCUGAUGCCAGUUUCCUCGUGAUGGGUGACUGUGCAGGGCGAUUGAUGGCUUCCCGUGAGCAUUGUUGCCUCAUGGUUGGUUGAAAAUUGAGUCCUUGGUAGGGAGCGCCGUGAUAGAUGGUGGUUGAGUGACGAACGAGACCCAAUCAUGUGAGACCCCUACCGAAUUUGGCCUUCAUGACCCACAUGCGUCUUUGGAACGCUCAUGACGAGACCUCAGGUCAGGCGGGGCUACCCGCUGAGUUUAAGCAUAUCAAUAAGCGGAGGA
rnacentral:misc_RNA from 1 species